CAGGGCUACACUGCUGCUGGAGGAAUACCUUGCACGGGUUUAGCUGCUGCAAAAUGGAUGGAUGAACAAUAGGGAUUUGUUGUUGCAGAAGCUGUUGGUGUUGUUGCUGCGAAAAUGCUGGUUGUUGUGGUAGAACUGUUUGUUGUUGCUGCGAAAAUGCUGGUUGUUGUGGUAGAACUGGUUGUUGUUUCUGUGAAAAUAGUGGUUGCUGCGAAAAUGAAGGUUGUUGCUGCAAAAAUGGUGGUUGUUGAGGAAAUGGUUGUUGUUGUUGUGAAGAUGGUGGUUGUUGUGGAAAUGUCUCUUUUUGUUGUAAUGGUUGUUGCUGCCAUGGUCUCUCCAAACCAGGGAUGCAGCUAGUCUCCAUCUGUGCAAUGGCAGAUGUCGCCACAACGGCUAGAAGGGCAAAGACGAGGAAGGUCUUCAUGAUGGAUUGGUGCUAACUAGUUUUGCUUGGUUUUGAUGCUUGUGCUUGUGAUGAUCUUUAUACUUCAUGCCUAUUUAUAGUAGUCCGGGCACCACCUCUUUCCUUCUAUGCAUCAACUUUAAUAAUUCUGUUUGCAUGCAUCAGAAAUGAUUUUUUGGUACAUUGUGGUAGGUUGCACUAGCUACAACGGUACUUUUGGAUUGAUCAUCAAAGUUGCUUUUUAGUUGUGCAUAUGAUCAUACACAAAGUACAGAAAUCCUGAUGUGUGGUAUAUAUGACUCGCCUUAUUCACUUUACAUGUCAAAUACUUAUAAGAAUAGUAUCACUUUAGCAACUGAGUUUGGAACCUUGUAUAGGCUGUCAACCAUAAACAAGAAAGGCAAAACUCGUGUAGAACCUUGUGGGAUGUUAAGAUAUGUUCGAUUAUUAAAGCCCUGCAUGUGGAGGGUUUGUCUAGACUCGGUUGCUUUUUAUAAAACUAACUUUGUAUUGUUCUCUAAGAUGAUAAGAUGAACUGCCGUAUAGAGCAUGACAUAAUUCACAGAAUUCCCUUUACAUGUAAGGAUGGUAGUUGCUUACAAGUUACUAGCAUAUAUCCGGUCCUCACUCUAGAUACGUCAUCAUCAGUUUGAUCUAUUUGUGAAGGAUUUUUCUAGAUAAGAUGAUUCUUUUGGUGGACUAAGUUUGUACUGUUAAGUAAAUAUUUCAUUGGGGCCGCCAGGUCUCUUUUACUAAAUCUUACGGGCAUGAGGUUGAUACUUAAUUGAAUUGUGUAGAACAUAUACACAGAUAACCUAUUGGAAAAUAUUAUAUGUUUGUUAUACUUUUAGGCAAACAUAGUUUGGUUUACUAUGGGGCAUGUUCAUGUGUAUAAUAAUGCAUUUACAUGUAUCGAGGUAUUUCAUCAACCCAAAAGGAAAAGUGCAAACAUUUUAAUAUUUUUCAUGAACAAACCUUAAGAACCUAUUCGUAGCUACCCUGCUAGAUCAUGGACAACAAGCACAUUUUAUUUGUUGGAUUUUGAGAAGGUCUAUAUUGUUCCCCGCAAAAAAAGUUCUAGAUUGUUUCAUGGCAACUUGUUUGUGACCGGCUAUUCUGAAGCAUCUUAUCUAGGUCAUACAUAUGUUUUUUUGUUAUUAAUCUAUUAAUGGCUGAAUGAACAGAUCCUAAAUGAUAAAGAAAAACAAUUCUAGGAUUAUGGGGCAUCUCCACCGCUUGUUUGAAUAAAACCAGAGGAUUUUAUGAUUAUGAUUUUGGUCCGAAAUAUGUUAAUGAUAUGUGCACUCGAUCUGAGCCAAUAUCCGAUGAGCUGAAAACUGUUUAAUGGCCCGUGAAUAAGUUUCUUUUUCUUCAUAUGUAUCAGAAAUCUGGAAUGGUAAUACUACAUACUCAAUUCAAAUUUGAAAAUACAUCAGAUCCCAGCUACAGAGGUCGCCGUGUGUUUCAAAGGGGCCUCUAUCGCAACUCUGGCCGUCCGCAAUUACAUUGGAUGGCACGCUAGUCCGCCAUUCAUCGUGGGGAGCCGCCGGCAGAGCAGGUCAGAGGUCCUGCAAUUGCAACUAGCAGGUUAUUCAUCCAAUCUAUGUCCAUCAGUUAAUGCUUGAUCCUGGAGUAAAUGGUACUUGUAUGGAUAUAUAGUUGCUGAGAGGAAUUUCUUUGCCUAGUGUUUGUUCUGAUUGCUAGCUUGGUUGGUGGAGAAAUCGCUACUUCUUCGUGGUAGGGCAGCAGUGGAGAAUUAGUACAGACAAACUUUGCAAAAAAUUCCGGUGGGUUGAGAAGUACUCCUAGAUUAAGUGGAGAUAGUACUAGAUCUGAUGGCUGCCGGAGAUAGUAGUAGAUGUUAUACUGUACACUAGCACAGUAUGAGGUCAUUCUGUUGUUAUGUACAAAGUCUAUCACUGAGAUGUACAUAUAUGAGUGAUAGCUGCAUAUAAUUUCUUGCAAAAUCCAUGCUUCCUUGCAGGUAGGAGGCCCUCAUGGCGCCCCGUGACGAGCCUGAUCCCUAUUUGGUAUGGUGAGUAUCGAAUCGAAACUCAAAUAUGCUUUCAUCGAUUUGCCGAUCUCACAUUAUAUGAAUCUAAGUGUUGAAUCAGAACUCAAAUAUUCAUUUAUUGAUUUUCCGAUCUCGUAUUGUAUGCAUCUGGCAGGAGAGAUUAUCGCCAGAGGCUGUGGAACAACCUGAAGGACACUUGUGGUUAAGCAGCAGCAGCAGCAGCAGGUGAGGUGUUCAUGCCAGUCAGUUGGUGGUCAGACUGGCACUUGUUGGAUUUGGAUGAUACAGGUGAGGAAGAAACUAAACAAAGACUAGUUAUGUGGUCACCUGGGACUCCGGAUUGUUUUUUGGUGCCAUGUAGUCUUGUUUUGCUGUUAUACACUUGAUAAAUGCCAUGAGCCGUUUUGGCAGUGUUAGAGAUAAUCACGAUUAGGCAUCUGAGUCCGGCACGGACUCGUAGCCCAGGCCGAGUCGGCUGUGUAUAGGUAGAUAGGUAGUGCUAUAUAUACCUGUACGUGGUUCCCCCUGUAAGGAUUAGAUCGAAAAGUAAUAAAAAUCAGCAGGACCGAUACGGCCCUGUAGCCAUCAAGUCGCCGCGUGUGUUUCGUGUGUGUUCCCGGCAACUAGUACUUCGUACGUGAUUGUUGUCUAGCCAGCCAGAGCAAUCGAACUACUUGUGAAUCCUACACUAGCGUUCGUCCAGAAAGAAAUCGGCCGUAGCUAGUUCGUCGUCCAUUGUUCCGCCGGAAAGUAAACAGCGGAUCGCUGCGUCGACAUCCGGACCAGUGCUAACAAUUGGUAUCUAGAGUUUUGGUAUUGACGUGAUUCUCGGGAAGCAAUCGAAGGAUCAUGUAGACCACACGCAAGGAGAUUGUGACGGCGGCAGCGGGAGCACCGAUGCCGAUGGUGGGGGGAUCACAAUUCCCCCGUCUGGAUCGAGAGGACUACGCACUAUGGGCGAUGAACAUGGAGGUCGCGAUGGAGGGAGCUGAGUUCUGGGAAGCCGUCGACCCGGGCGGCGCCGAGUACGCAAAGGGCGCGGCGAAGUACCGGAAGGAUCGUCAGGCGUUAACAGCGAUCUACUCCGCCAUGCCGAAGGAUGUGCUGCAACACCUCGUCGGAAAGAACUCGGCGAAGGAGGCAUGGGAGACCAUCAAGAUCCUGCACCAGGGUCAUGACCGUGUCAAGGAAGCACACCUUCAGUCCCUGAUGAGAAGCUACGAGUGCCUGAAGAUGGAUGAAAGUGAGACGGUUGAUCAGUUUGCCGCCCGUCUCAAGACCCUCGUCAAUGGCAUACGCAGCUAUGGUUCAACCCUAGAAGAAGUUGCGAUCGUACGACGAUUUUUGCGCGCCGCGCCUGCACGCUACAUCCAGAUCGUCACGUCGAUCGAACAAUGUCUCGACCUAAAGACUCUCACGGUCGAGGAUCUCGUCGGAAGGUUCAAGGCCCACGACGAGAGAAUUCGUCUCAGCUUCGGCGAUUCGAAGGAGAGUGAGCAUCUCAUGCUUACAAUGGCUCAAUGGAUGGCCCUGAUGAAAGAAAAGCAAGGUGGAUCCUCGAGCGGCAGUAAAGCAAAGGAGAAGCAACGCCCGGCGAGAAAGGACUUUGCUGGACAGGAAGAAAAGGCUGGAAAACCAAGGAGAAAAUUUGACAUAAAGAAAGUAAAGUGUCACAACUGUGGAAUCCUCGGUCACUUCAAGUCUGAUUGCAAGAAUCCACCGAAGGAAAGAGCUCUCAUGGCCAAGGGAGGCGAUGAUAGCGACAUGAUGCUCAUGGUCGAAGUAUGCGAGCUUAUGGACAAGGUGGGUCCAGCUCCAAAGGCGCCGGCUAUCGAGGUUGUCACGCUCAACGAAGAGAAGGUUUAUCUUCAUGACAAGCAGAGGACGAACACGGCGGGACACGUGUGGUACCUCGACACGGGAGCAAGCAACCACAUGACUGGCGACAAGGACCAGUUUUCUGAGCUAAAUCUCUCGGUGGGAGGCACGGUUCGGUUCGGUGACGGGCGAACCGUUGGCAUCACAGGGCGAGGCACUGUCCUGUUUGAGCUGAAGAACGGCGGUCACAAGGUACUCACAGAUGUGUACUAUAUUCCCAAACUAAAGAGCAACAUCAUAAGUCUCGGCCAGCUUGAGGAGCGUGGUUGCAAGAUUGUGCUCGAAGAUGGCUAUUUAUGGGGGUAUGACCGUCAAAGGAUGUUGAUCAUGAAAGUGCAGAGGUCGCCGAACAGACUCUACAUCCUCAACUUGGAUCGUGUGGAUCCAGUAUGUCUCUUGUCAAGCAUGGAAGACUCGGCAUGGAAGUGGCACGCGCGCUACGGUCAUCUAAAUUUUCAAGCUCUUCGGCAACUUGGACAAAAGGAGAUGGUACGUGGUCUACCGUGCAUCGAUCAUGUUGAGCAAGUGUGCGACGGUUGCCUUGUUGGGAAACAAAGGCGGGCCUCGUUCCCUAGAGAGGGAAACUUUAGAGCAAGUAAAGCUCUUGAGUUGGUCCAUGGAGAUUUGUGCGGCCCUAUUACUCCGGCUACCCCAGCUGGGAACAAAUACUUCUUGCUCAUCGUCGACGACUUCAGCAGAUACAUGUGGAUUGUGUUGUUGAAGACGAAAGAUCAAGCUUUGCAAGCCUUCAGGAAAGUAAAGAUGGCGGCCGAAGUCGAGUCUGAAGCCAAGCUGAAGGCCCUCCGUACCGAUCGGGGGGGUGAGUUCAAGUCUCGUAAAUUCACGGAAUUUUGCGAAGCACAUGGGAUCAAGCGGUAUCUUACGGCGCCAUAUUCACCACAGCAAAACGGUGUUGUGGAACGGAGGAAUCAAACUGUGGUGGCGAUGGCACGAAGCAUGAUGAAGAGCAAAGGGAUGCCGGGCAAGUUUUGGGGUGAGGCGGUCAACACGGCCGUUUAUUUGCUGAAUCGGGCUCCAACCAAGAGUGUGGUUGGGAUGACGCCGUAUGAAGCAUGGUACGGGCACAAGCCCGCGGUUGAUCAUCUUCGCACUUUUGGGUGCGUCGCGCAUGUGAAGACGGUGGCCGGGCAUACUAGCAAGUUGGCGGACCGGAGUACUCCAAUGAUGUUGGUUGGCUAUGAAGCGGGCACGAAGGCAUAUCGUGCAUGCAACCCCUCUAACAAUAAGGUGGUUGUAACGCGUGACGUGGUCUUUGAAGAAGCAAGGUCAUGGAAUUGGAACUCCACCGAGCCGGUAUACCCGAUCUCUGAUGAAAUCUUUCACGUUUUUUACAACGAUUCUGAGCGUGCAGAUAAUAUUGAUCAACCGGACACUUCGGCGGCACGGAGCGAUGCUCGAGACGACGACGCGCGGCGAGACGCGUCAGGGAGUUCACCUAUAUCUGGUGGCGUGCCAGGAAGAGACGCUGCGAGCGGCGCUACAGGCAGCAGCAGCAGUGGAGAGAGAGCCACGUAUCCUGCACCCGGCAGCCCAGCCAGGUGCGCUGGAGGCAGCAGCGGCCCAGCACCAGGCUCUCCACCAGGGAGUUCUUCCCACGAGCCAGAAAGCCCAGCCGCUACCCAAUCUCCACAAGGCCACGUGACAGGAGGUCCAGAAGUGCAUGCACGUGAAGCAACUUCAGAUUUCGUGGCUGGUUCUUCUGGUGCACGUGCAGAUAGCUCAUGAGAGCCCCAAUCGCCAGAAAAUAGAAGCUUGGCAACUUCAGAUGAAUUUUCUUCGUCUUCGACAGAACAGGAGAGGAGGGAACAUCCGCCUACGCCAGUCCGUCUUCGACCAGUGUUAGAUUUAUAUCCGAAGAAAGCGCUUCAGAAGGUAAAUCCAGUGCAUCAUGAUAGGACGAAGCACAUCGACAUACGGUAUCACUACAUACGGGAGUGCGUGGAAGAAAGCAAGAUUGAAGUCAACUAUGUUUGCACCGACGACCAGCUUGCAGAUAUCCUGACCAAGUCUUUGGGGCGGCAGAAGUUUACGGAGAUGCGGGGAAGGAUCGGUGUCAAAGCUGUGAAGUGAGGACAUCGUGCUUAGGGGGGUGAUUGUUAGAGAUAAUCACGAUUAGGCAUCUGAGUCCGGCACGGACUCGUAGCCCAGGCCGAGUCAGCUGUGUAUAGGUAGAUAAGUAGUGUUAUAUAUACCUGUACGUGGUUCCCCUUGUAAGGAUUAGAUCGAAAAGUAAUAAAAAUCAGCAGGACCGAUACGGCCCUGUAGCCAUCAAGUCGCCGCGUGUGUUUCGUGUGUGUUCCCGGCAACUAGUACUUCGUACGUGAUUGUUGUCUAGCCAGCCAGAGCAAUCAAACUACUUGUGAGUCCUACACUAGCGUAUCGUCCAGAAAGAAAUCGGCCGUAGCUAGUUCGUCGUCCGUUGUUCCGCCGGAAAGUAAACAGCGGAUCGCUGCGUCGACGUCGGGACCAGUGCUAACAGGCAGCACUGGUGUCAUUUCAUUGUUGUUUUAGUAGGUGCUUUGGCUAAAAUAGAAAAGAAAAAGAUUAUGCACGCCUAGGUUGUGUCAUGAUUGUUAUCGGCUUUGUUGAACUUCGACCUCUGUCUUCUUCAGAUACCUGUAAUGUGAAUUAAUAAUCUCCUUCCACAUUUCCCAGGUUUAGUAGAAGAUGGUAUGUUCUCGCACCUGUGAAGUAUUUAUCUUGCCAGUUAUAGUGUCAUUAUUUAGUUGAAAUGACAAGGCAUUGACUUUUUAUCUUGUGUUCGGAUAGUACUAUUUGAAGCUGUGAUUUAUCUGUUUCAAUACUGAUGGUACCCUAGUAGUGCUGGUUACUGGGGAGGUGUAUGCGGCAUGUCGAAUCAUUCUUCCGCAAGAGGCCCUAAAGCUUCAAAUUGUUUAGAACCUGUCUGCACUCUGCAGUUUGGAACCUUGCGGAAGGAUGCUGUGAA
rnacentral:lncRNA from 1 species